rnacentral:rRNA from 1 species
AGCGAACACUGGCGGCAGGCUUAACACAUGCAAGUCGAACGCCCCGCAAGGGGAGUGGCAGACGGGUGAGUAACACGUGGGAACGUACCCUUUGGUUCGGAAUAACUUGGGGAAACUCAAGCUAAUACCGGAUAAGCCCUUAUGGGGAAAGGUUUACUGCCGAAGGAUCGGCCCGCGUCUGAUUAGCUAGUUGGUGAGGUAAUGGCUCACCAAGGCGACGAUCAGUAGCUGGUCUGAGAGGAUGAUCAGCCACACUGGGACUGAGACACGGCCCAGACUCCUACGGGAGGCAGCAGUGGGGAAUACUGGACAAUGGGGGAAACCCUGACCCAGCCAUGCCGCGUGAGUGAUGAAGGCUUUAGGGUUGUAAGGCUCUUUUCCCGGGGACGAUAAUGACUGUACCGGGAGAAUAAGCCCCGGCUAACUUCGUGCCAGCCGCCGCAGUAA